rnacentral:piRNA from 1 species
GGCUCAGUCAGCAACGAUCGAUCGCGC